rnacentral:rRNA from 1 species
CCUACGGGCGGCAGCAGUGAGGAAUAUUGGUCAAUGGACGAGAGUCUGAACCAGCCAAGUAGCGUGAAGGAUGACUGCCCUAUGGGUUGUAAACUUCUUUUAUAAAGGAAUAAAACGAGGCACGUGUGCCUUUUUGCAUGUACUUUAUUAAUAAGGAUCGGCUAACUCCGUGCCAGCAGCCGCGGUAAUACGGAGUAUACGAACGUUAUACGGAUUUAUUGGGUUUAAAGGGAGCGUAGAUGGGUUGUUAAGUCAGUUGUGAAAGUUUGCGGCUCAACCGUAAAAUUGCAAUUGAUACUGGCAGUCGUGAGUACAGUUGAGGUAGGCGGAAUGCGUGGUGUAGCGGUGAAAUGCUUAGAUAUCACGAAGAACCCCGAUUGCGAAGGCAGCUUACUAAACUGUGACUGACAUUGAUGCUCGAAAGUGUGGGUAUCAAACAGGAUUAGAUACCCUGGUAGUC